rnacentral:rRNA from 1 species
UACGGAGGGUGCAAGCGUUAUCCGGAUUCACUGGGUUUAAAGGGUGCGUAGGCGGACAGGUAAGUCAGUGGUGAAAUCUCUGGGCUUAACCCAGAAACUGCCGUUGAUACUAUUUGUCUUGAAUAUCCUGGAGGUAGGCGGAAUAUGUCAUGUAGCGGUGAAAUGCUUAGAUAUGACAUAGAACACCGAUAGCGAAGGCAGCUUACUACAGGAUGAUUGACGCUGAGGCACGAAAGCGUCGGGAGCAAACAGC